rnacentral:sRNA from 1 species
CCGGAGCGCCUGGGGCCACGAUGGAGCGCGACGGCUGCGCUGGGGGCGGGAGCCGCGGCGGCGAGGGCGGGCGCGCUCCCCGGGAGGGUCCGGCGGGGAACGGCCGCGAUCGGGGCCACAGCCACGCUGCCGAGGCGCCUGGGGACCCGCAGGCGGCCGCGUCCUUGCUGGCCCCUAUGGACGUGGGGGAGGAGCCGCUGGAGAAGGCGGCGCGCGCCCGCACUGCCAAGGACCCCAACACCUAUAAAGUACUCUCGCUGGUAUUGUCAGUAUGUGUGUUAACAACAAUACUUGGUUGUAUAUUUGGGUUGAAACCAAGCUGUGCCAAAGAAGUUAAAAGUUGCAAAGGUCGCUGUUUUGAGAGAACAUUUGGGAACUGUCGCUGUGAUGCUGCCUGUGUUGAGCUUGGAAACUGCUGUUUAGAUUACCAGGAGACGUGUAUAGAACCAGAACAUAUAUGGACUUGCAACAAAUUCAGGUGUGGUGAGAAAAGGUUGACCAGAAGCCUCUGUGCCUGUUCAGAUGACUGCAAGGACCAGGGCGACUGCUGCAUCAACUACAGUUCUGUGUGUCAAGGUCAGGUGCUCACUGGACUCUGCAGCAGCCUGGCAUCUUCCAGCAUCUUAGCUGGGCUUUACAUAGGUGUUAUCUUUUAUAUUAGGAGUCAUGGCUAUUGGCCAACUAUAUUAGCUGAAAAAAAUUAUUUUAAAACUUUUUAUUAAAGAAACUUUU